CAACUCACCACAUUGGGUUUUGGCCACUAAAAGCUCUGUCGCUGAAUUCGUAGCCGAAACCAACCUAGAUGGUCCUGCAAUAAUAGGUAUGGAUCCCGCGCAUGACAAACCAAAUCCCGCGCAUGGCAAAGAAAAGUCUUCCUCACAGAGUUCCCGUGAUGCCAUGGGUGCCGGGGCCGCGGCUGGUAUUACAUUCGGCGUGACAGCAUUGGCAGGAUUGUUGAUCGCAGUCAUGGUCAUUGGCUGGCGUCGCCAUAAGACCAUUCAAAGAGAGAGCAGCGGUUUAAUGGAGCCAUUGAAUCCCAUUGGGUACGGCGCCGUAAAAGAGGAAGGAAGCCCACAAGUUUGAAUUAUGCAGGAACUUUAAAUUGUCUUAAAACUAACAGAUGACUCCAGAUAAUAACUUUAUGUCUCUUAAAACGUUUUUGAAGUUGACAUUUUCUCGCGCUUUGUCCCGUAAAUUCCUUUUUCUGAUAAUUGUGUUUUUCAAGUGACAUUGUUACCAGCGCUUGUUCUGUUUAAAUUGUGAUAGAAGAAAUAACCUUAAUUUCAGAGGCACAGAGAAUGUAAACAAAGGAUGUUUCGUUUGACAGAGUACGGUUACACCUGUUU